rnacentral:lncRNA from 1 species
AUUACUCUCAACCUUCAUCUCAUUUUCAAGCACAAGAACUUCCUUCCAAAGCCAUCAAAACCAUGAACUAAAGGGUUGCUGUCCCUUUUGUGUUUCAGCCACCAUUUCACCCAUCUACACCAUCCUUUUGCUUGAUAUUUUUACCACCAAAUACCCCUGGAAGUUAGUUUUUAUGUAACUCAAAAUUAUAGAUUCAAAACAGUGAGUAAACUACCCUUUUUCUUGCUCUUUUGCUGUGAAGUUUUCGUGACAGCAACAAAGCCAAAAGAGUGACUGUUUUGGAGCAUCAAACCAACACCCAAAAGUUCUUCAUCUUCAAGCUUUCAUUAUUCAAGUAUUCACAUAAGGUGAGUUCAUACCCAUACAUUUUCAUGUUUUCUUCAUGUUUUAAGGGGGGGAAUACAAGUUAGAACACUAAACAUAACUUAAAAUUAAAUGACAGCUUUCUACAGAAAAGUUAAGUCCUGUUCACAGAGUGUUUUGACCAUCUUAAACUUAAUAUCUUUAAAAACUGUACAAUAUGAAAAUAGUUCAAGUUUAUACCUUUCUAAUGACUACUCGCACGCGUUCAUACGAUUUUUCUACAAUUUAUGGCGAUUUUUAUAAAACUGNAAACUGCCUAUCAUUUCAGAAGUGAUUUCGGACCAGUCUGUGAAUAUGAUCAUUUUCACACUAGUUUGAUACCACUAAAAGUCAUAAUAAAAAUUACGAACAAAGUAGACUCAUUUUAUAAACUCUCAGAGGUGACGGAUUCAGUUUUCGACUUACGAUGAUUUUUCUAUGAGUUUUCUAAAAACAGGAACAGUAAGGGGUAAAACUGUCAAAAGUGGUUUAUAGAUUUAUUAACACCUUCUAACAUUUUUGAGCAAUGUUUAUACAUUAAGGAAGUUAAAACAUAAUCAUUUAAAUAUGUUUAAUUACAAUUUUUACAAAAGUGAUAAGUACAAAAACGUCUUUACUAUCAAACUUAAGAAUUAUUUCAUGCAAAGUUUCUAAUAAAAACGUAAGAAUAUGAGCAACAAUUACGAAAGAUACCAAAUCAUCUAUUAGAAUUUAUACAUAUAUAUCACCAUUUGCAUAUAUAUGUUUUGUUUAUAAACGUGUCUUCUGCAUCAAAAAUAUACAAAUAUAUUUUAGGAAACUCUACUCCAUUAGUAUCCUAUUGAGCGAAGGGUAAAAUAUUAUCAAAAACAUAUCUAAAGAUUUCACGUUCUUUUUCAUAGCUAUCUUGGUCUUAGGGGAUGAUCAUUUAUACAAACAUUUUCGGCACAAAAACACGUAAACUCGUUGAACAAAUUUAGUGAGUUUUGUCUUCACGGUACCUUAUAAAGUACACACGAAAGUCCUAUUAAAUAUAACCAGAGUAUCUUGUAGGGAGAGCGUGAUAGUUGUGUAUAGAUUUAUACUGGGACCGACAAUCCCGCACCUUAGCUGCUUGCAACAGCUAGACCGGCAGGUCUAGGGGUGACAAAUGUCAUAACGAAAUCAACACCUGAAGAACGUUGCGAACAAGGCAGUCUGGGUCAAUCAAGCAUGGUUAUAAGAUAAAAAUUAAAACUCAUGUAAAACAACAAUGACACUUUUAGUUUACGCAAAGACAGUCUUCAAACAGUUUUAUAUACAAACAAAACUGCAUAACAUCAUUUUAAGUAGGAAAAUUACUUAUACGCUUCGGUCUUGGUUCAUUUAAGGCCACAUCUUAUUUUAGGGAAAAUAUAGGAUUUUUCGGAAAACAAACAUUACCACAUUUCAUAGAAAAGGUUUACAAAUAUACAUACAAAUGCUUAUGAGCUCACCAACUUAAAUGUUGAUACUCUCUUUUCAAAUAACUUGUAUUCUCAGGAAAUCAGUAAAUCAGGUAACAACUGGCUUUGAGGAUGGGACGCUUAGGCGUCUAAACAAAUCUUUUGACAACAUAUUGUAAUUGAUAUUUUGAAACAUGUAAUACGUACAAAUGAUGUNUUUUCAAUUAAUAUAUGUUGGUUGUGUUUGCUUUGAACAUUUAUACUCAACUCUUGUGAUACACUACAUGAUAGUCACCCGCCCCUGGAUGAUUCCGCCAUCCUGGUUUGGGGGUGUGACAGAUUGGUAUCAGAGCAUUGUUUAUAGUGAGCUAAGUAUAUCAAACCACAUAAGAUAUACAAACUAUAAAUACAUAGGGACUAAAACUCUCUGACUUAACAAUUUCAAAACAGGAACAUUAGGGGUCCUUUGCUGUUAAGUCUAUGUUUGCUAAGUGUAUACGUUAAGGUGGUAUAUACUAAAAGUUUUAUAGACUUAGAAUUUGUGAUUUUCACUUUACUUCCUUUUCCUUGUUUGGAUGUGGAUAUAAGGUAAGAUCACUUAUUCGACUGACUAUUUAAUCUUGACUGUAUAUGACCUGUAUACACAAGGCAACCAUAGAAGGACCAGGAAUGGACCGAGAUUUCACGAAAAAUGUAAGUGCAUACAAACAUACUAGUAAGGAGUCAUAUUGGCAACAAAACAAAAAGUAUUAAGAUAAGUUAAACACUGCGAGUAAGCCUCGGGGUAUGUAAUCAUGUCUGGGAUGAAUAUAGCCUGAUCAACUAUAUUUAUCCAAGAGGUAACCAACAUAUGCAGAGGAAUGGUCGUAGUGGAUGACAAGUCUAAAACUUACCAACAAACCAUACAAAGAAAACUUUAACAUACAAAUUUAAAAUACUAUAGGAGUAUUUUGCGUUACUAUAGAGCCACACACUUAGAUUCUUCAUAUGCUUCUUACCCCUAUUCUCGCAUAGGCAUAUCAACUAGACUUCAUCUCCACAUAGACACCUAUUAUCCUGCCACCGAAGCCAACAGAUGGAUCGAGAAGGAUCCAAAAGAAAAUUUCGAAGAGUACCAAUAGAUGAAAUACGAAGAAGAAGAUUUCCGAGAAGGGACCAGAUGGAGAAAGAAGUUCGGGAGAUACCAUCAAUAAACCUUACCCUAUCAAGAGGAGUGUGAGAACCUCCACCUCUCAUUUCAGGAAGCAACCCGCAAUUAACUACCUAGCCACACAUAUAGAUUGGAGAGGAUAACCGAUGAUCCACAACCGAUAUAAACUCACUACACCGUACUUUGGGCCAUAGCACCCACAGACCGGCGAGCAGAUCAAGAGAACAAUACAGAUCACCUACACUCCUUGGAAAAAGAGAUAGUCGUUAUAGGACGAAGAACCCUUACAGCUAUAACCAGGACAAUCAUCACAGAACUGAGAAUAGAGGAGGCCACUCGCGAAAUAGAAUCAUGCCGACACAUGAAGGUAAUCAGCAUACUAGCGCAACACUAGUUCUAUAAAUAGACCCUACAACAUUUCAAAUUGAGGUAACAGCCGCCGUGACAGCAAUCAUGGCACACCUUGGCGCUAAAAACACAAACAAAAGCAGGAAUGGCGCCACAAGUUCCAAUCGUAAUAACAACCAGGGACACCCCCGAGUAUGUUCCUGCAAGGACGCCCCAACUUACAAACCUGAGAACGUCCACGACUAUGAAAGAGUACUACCCAAGAAACGAAAGUUCUGGACCAGGAGAAAGAGUCGUCCAAAUCAAGGACCUACCAAAAGACAACAAACAAUGACAGUCCAUACCACCACUAUCCCUACUACCCCAGUGCCGACAAGACCAUAUGUUGGAAACCUACCAAAAUGUACCAAGUGUAGCUUUCAUCACAAAGGGAAGUGCAGGGAAAUGCACUGCAAGAACUGUAACAAAAGGGACAUACCACAAAUUUCUGUAGGGCGCCGGCUCAACAGACCGCCCAUGACAUAAAAGUUGGGAUGAGUCGGACUUGCUACAGAUGUGGAGAAGUAGGGCAUUUCAUAAAGUAGUGCCCAAAGACUAAAUACAAAGAUGUCAGGAGCGUCGGAAGUAUUUCAGCAACAGAGCGUGGGAAACCAAUAAUAGACCCCGUUGAGAUUCCGGUACGUUCAUUCUCGAUAGCACAUAUGCAUGUACACUAUAUAAUAGCAAUACAGAGAGGAGUAUUGUGAGUCGUAGAUUUAAUAAAUUUCUCAGCCAAAAACCUCAAACACUUAAACGAAAUAUUUAUAGUAGAAUUGGAAUAAUCAAAACACUAGAGACGUGUACAUAGGGUGCACUCUAACACUAAAUCAACCAAUUCGUUCAAAUCAUCCUAAAACCAGUCACAAUAAAAAGUUACGACAUUUUCAUUUUAACAACGCAUUAGUUAGUUUCCUCACCAUAUCGAUAUAAUAUAUUACGAAAGGCCAUUCGCCUAAACCCAUCGAGUAACAAAACCCUCAUCGUCUAUGGAGACAAAUCGGACACAAACCCCCGACUCACCUUUUACAUCAACACUCAGAAGUACCUACACAUGAGGUACCACGCCGUCCUAGCCCACACUGUGGAUAAGAAACAAGAAGAGAAAGACAUCAGGGAUGUUCCAAAAGCCCGUAACCUUCCCGAUAUAUUCCCAGAAGAUCUCCUAGGAAUAUCAUCCGUACGGCAACUCAAGUUCAAAAAUCGACUUAAAUGCAGUAGUUGUGGAAAAGGGUUGAUGUAAAUGCCAUCUCACCCAAGUUAAUCACCCCACUCAAGUAGAGACUAUAGACCCAUACUAGUGAAUCUAUGAUUACUAAGUGUAUAUAUUGGAGCCCUAUAUAAUUAAGAUUCUACGGACUUAGGGUUGGUAAUUCCGCUUUAAAUCCUUUUCCUUGUUUGGAUGUGGGCUUAGAAUAGAAUCACUGAUUUGGCUGUCUUUUCAUUCUUAAUUAUAUAUGACUUAUAAACACAAAGAGAUGAUAGAUGAAUCAGUUACGAGUCAUACCAUGAACUCCAUGACAAGUUACCCAAGACAGCAGAUGGACACGCUACCACUUGAGUGAGCGUAGACAAAUCAACCAAACCCACACACUUUCUACCAACCAAGGCUACAAAGAAAAAUAGAAAAGCUGAUAGGAGCAUAUCACAAGAAGAUUGCGAGACUGCAUAGUAUAUCACUAUCUAUCAUUUUGGAUAAGGGAAAGGCGAUUCGCCUCGUGUUUUCAAUAGUCAUUAAAGAAGUCCUUAAUAUCACCCUCAAACUGACAGACAAAACGGAAGAACCAUUCAUCUAAUCCUUAUACAACAACUAUUACAUUAACAUCAAAGUCGCGUCAUUCGAAGCUCUCUACAGAAGCAAGUGUAGAUCACCUCUGUGCNGCUGAGGUAGGUAACACGCAACUAGCUAAGGGACAAGUUCCUAACAACACUCUCACCAGCCCCCAGAUCAUACGAGAAACUAUAGAGAAGAUUGUUCAAACCCAUGAAUAAUUGAAGGCAUCCCAGAAUCGGAAGAAGAGCAUGUCUGAUGAGACUCUUGUUAUUCCACUUGACGAAAUUGAAGACAACGAGAGUCUAAAAUUCAUCGAAGAACCAGUGGAAAUCAUGGAUCAGGAGGUCAAAAGGACGAAACAAAGCCGCAUACCCAUAGUGAAGGCCCGUUGAAGCGCCAAGCGAGGACCUGAACUCACCAAGGAACGCGAGAAACAAAUGAAAAAAAAAAAAGAAACACCCCCAAUUGUUUAGUGAUUUCCCGUCUACAAGUUGAAUUUCGGGCCGAAAUUCUUUUAACGGGGGGAGAAUGUAACAAUUGGUAAAAAUAGGAACGAUCGUACGAUGCUAUGUUUUGAUUAUUAAGCAAUAUGAGUAUUUUAUCAAGAAUGGUUGAAGGAAUUUAACCUCUUUUAUUUAAAUAAGUUCUUGUGAAAUAUAAAAAAAAGUAACAAUUGAUAAAUUUCGUUAUGAUGUAUGAUACGAACCAUCACCGGUUUUUGAAAAUUAGCAUAUAACAUCAUUUGAAUGCAACAAACUUAAUUUUUGUAUCAACAUGUAUCUAGUUGAUAAUUAAGUUAGGUUCUAUGUAAAACAUGUGCUUAAUAGAUGUGGAGGAUCUAAAUUUGACAAAUAUACGAACCAAAGUGACAAAACGUGUUUAACGAUAUGGUUAACCAGUUAAAUGUCACGAAAUUAUACAUUGGUCAAUAAAUUUUAUAUUUAAAUAAAUUAAAAUAUAAAAUGAAUUAUUAUAAGGUAUAAUUAGAAUGUAUUUAAGUGUUUUUGAAUAAAAAGAAUAAAACAUAAACAUUAAAGUUCAAAUACACAAAAACUACAUUGUUAUUUUAUACUAAGUAUACAUGUAUGUAUUUGUACAUAUGUAUUAUUAUCUAGUGAAUGUCUAGUUAUGGGUCAUGAUUUAAGUGAUUUCAUGUAAGGAAUAUGACUUCUAAAUCAAUUAAGAUAAGAGAAUUGGUGGACAUAUGUGCCAACUUAACUAAUAAGUGCUUAAUCACUUAAGACAUUUUACUAAGAAUGGUUAUUAAUCCCUCUUCUAAUUUUCAAGAUUAAGACCUUCCCUCUCCUACCUAGAACUCCUAACUAACUAAAUAACUAGUAGUUAGUUAGUUAACUAACUCUAUCUCUAAGCAACCACCCAAGCAAGUGGCUAGACAAGAUCACAUCACUUAAACUCACAUCCCAUCACAAGCUAGUCUAGGUUUUGUCCCCUUAUCCUCUUCCACCCUUUCCUCCUUCAUAAUCACGAAAUUUCCUCAUCAUUUUACCCUCAAUUCAUCAGCCAAAACUCCAGGGAAUUACUCUCAACCUUCAUCUCAUUUUCAAGCACAAGAACUUCCUUCCAAAGCCAUCAAAACCAUGAACUAAAGGGUUGCUGUCCCUUUUGUGUUUCAGCCACCAUUUUACCCAUCUACACCUUCCUUUUGCUUGAUAUUUUUACCACCAAAUACCCCUGGAAGUUAGUUGUUAUGCUACUCAAAAUUAUAGAUUCAAAACAGUGAGUAAACUACCUUUUUUCUUGCUCUUUUGCUGUGAAGUUUUCGUGACAGCAA